rnacentral:rRNA from 1 species
AAGCCCUCAGCUUNCUGGGGCUGGAUGAGUGGCGAACGGGUGAGUAACACGUGAGUAACCUNCCCCUGAUUUAGGGAUAANCCCGGGAAACUGGGUCUAAUACCGGAUAUGACCACCGNCCGCAUGGUUGGUGGUGGAAAGUUUUUACGAUUGGGGAUGGGCUCGCGGCCUAUCAGUUUGUUGGUGAGGUAAUGGCCUACCAAGGCGACGACGGGUAGCCGGCCUGAGUGGGCGACCGGCCACACUGGGACUGAGACACGGCCCAGACUCCUACGGGAGGCAGCAGUGGGGAAUAUUGCACAAUGGGGGAAACCCUGAUNCANUGACGCAGCGUGCGGGAUGACGGCCUUCGAGUUGUAAACCGCUUUCAGCAUGGAAGAAGCCGUAAGGUGACGGUACCUGCAGAUGAAGUACCGGCUAACUACGUGCCAUCAGCCGCGGUAAUACGUAGGGUACGAGCGUUGUCCGGAAUUAUUGGGCGUAAAGAGCUCGUAGGUGGUUGGUCACGUCUGCUGUGGAAACGCAACGCUUAACGUUGCGCGGGCAGUGGGUACGGGCUGACUAGAGUGCAGUAGGGGAGUUUGGAAUUCCUGGUGUAGCGGUGAAAUUCGCAGAUAUCAGGAUGAACACCGGUGGCGAAGGCGGGACUCUGGGCUGUGACUGACAAUGAGGAGCGAAAGCAUGGGGAGCGAAAAGGAUUAGAUACCAUGGUAGUCCAUGCCGUAAACGUAGGGCACUAGGUGUGGGGGACAUUCCACGUUUUCCGAGCCGUAGCUAACGCAUUAAGUGCCCCGCCAGGGGAGUACGGUCGCAAGGCUAAUACUCAAAGGAAUAGACGGGUGCCCGCACAAGCGGCGGAGCAUGCCGAUUAAUUCGAUGCAACGCGAAGAACCUUACCA